AGAUGUAACGCCAUGGGGUAGGAAGCCCGGAAACCUCUCCGACAUGUUCUGGGAGAACCAGCGAGGCCUCGGCAGAUGCUGACCCCACCGCAGACCCUACCAGGACCAGCAAGAAACACACUGCCAACAAGAGCCUUUCCCAUGGAUGCCCGCAACUGUUGGCCCGUGGUGCCGAUGACGGCGGAAAGUGAAAUUAAUGGCAGGAAAGACUAGGAUGCUGGUGGCAGGGGCGGUGAAGGCUGA